AAUCAACGCUGGCGGCGUGCCUCAGACAUGCAAGUCGAACGAUUAAAGCUCCCUUCGGGGAGUGCAUAAAGUGGCGCACGGGUGAGUAACACGUAAGUAAUCUACCCUCGGGUGGGGAAUAACGUCCGGAAACGGACGCUAAUACCGCAUAAUGCAGCGGCACCGCAAGGUGACAGUUGUUAAAGAUUUAUUGCCUGGGGAGGAGCUUGCGGCAGAUUAGCUUGUUGGUAAGGUAACGGCUUACCAAGGCUACGAUCUGUAUCCGGUCUAAGAGGACGGUCGGACACACUGACACUGAAUAACGGGUCAGACUCCUACGGGAGGCAGCAGUCGGGAAUUUUGGGCAAUGGGGGAACCCUGACCCAGCAACGCCGCGUGAAGGAUGAAGUAUUUCGGUAUGUAAACUUCGAAAGAAUAGGAAGAAUUAAUGACGGUACUAUUUAUAAGGUCCGGCUAACUACGUGCCAGCAGCCGCCGUAAC
rnacentral:rRNA from 1 species